AUUGAACGCUGGCGGCAGGCCUAACACAUGCAAGUCGAGCGGUAGCACAGAGAGCUUGCUCUCGGGUGACGAGCGGCGGACGGGUGAGUAAUGUCUGGGAAACUGCCUGAUGGAGGGGGAUAACUACUGGAAACGGUAGCUAAUACCGCAUAACGUCGCAAGACCAAAGAGGGGGACCUUCGGGCCUCUUGCCAUCAGAUGUGCCCAGAUGGGAUUAGCUAGUAGGUGGGGUAACGGCUCACCUAAGCGACGAUCCCUAGCUGGUCUGAGAGGAUGACCAGCCACACUGGAACUGAGACACGGUCCAGACUCCUACGGGAGGCAGCAGUGGGGAAUAUUGCACAAUGGGCGCAAGCCUGAUGCAGCCAUGCCGCGUGUAUGAAGAAGGCCUUCGGGUUGUAAAGUACUUUCAGCGGGGAGGAAGGCGUUGAGGUUAAUAACCUCAGCGAUUGACGUUACCCGCAGAAGAAGCACCGGCUAACUCCGUGCCAGCCGCCGCGGUAAAAC
rnacentral:rRNA from 1 species